rnacentral:lncRNA from 1 species
AUGAAGUUUGUUACUUGUUGCCAUUACAGAGUACAUCAUCUGAUUUCUUUGCUACUCCGGAGUUUCUUGCAUGGUUUUCCUUGCUGUUGGUGGAAGAAGUAUUUAGGGACUCUGGAAGAGAAGGCGAUUUUGGACAACAAGGACCUGUAGAGUCAUACAAGGCUCCUGUUGUGGUUUUUUGUGCCUUCCACAAAGAAGGAAUAUCCAGAGCAUUUUAUGCUCAGAUGCAAGAAUUUUCUCCCACUGUCUUGUCUGAAAGAAAAGUUGGCAGAAGUGACAGCUUUUGUGGAGAUUUCUCCUUAUUGCUCCUUGGCCUUUGUGAAUAUCUCCUGCUUGCAGAAGAGGUGUGCCAGCUAAUGCUCUUCCUCUGGUGGACAUGACCAAUCUGUUCAUGCACUGGGCCUCUACAGUUGUUUUUGGAACUCUAUGCUACUCUAUACCACUCUAUAACACAGGUAACAUUUAGGGUCCCUGUGUUGUUUAGAAGAACUAAUUUUCAAAUUAAUUAAGUUGUAAAAAAAAAAAGUAAAAAAAUUGUAGUCACUUUGCUUCCUCAAUAACCAUCAGCAUACUCAGCCUCUGGAAACCUGUACUGUGCAUCUCCAUCGACAUUUUUACAAGGUCCUCACUGAUCUUACCAGGAAAGUGGUGCUAUUGACCCAUUUUAAACAAACAAAACACAUCUACACUCUGAGCUAUGUUCACAUCUGUUAUGUACAUGUUGUAUUUGUGGACUGUUGCAUUUGCCUAUUUCUCAGUUGCUCAAAAGCUGAUGUAAGAAGCUAAUUGAACACUAGUAAAUACAAGGGGUAGGUAUUUACUCUCUUUGAGCUUACUGCUUUAUUUUUCAAUAGAGCUGAUCUUUUUUUUAGCUUUGUGAUCACAUAGAGAUGUCUCUUCCUGAUUUCAGUGUGUGGAGAGGGAUUAAUUGCUUGGGAACAGCUCAUGAAACAGGCUUAACUCUACAGUAUUGAUUUCCUUUUUCAAAGACCCACUUGGAUUCCUCACACUUUCAUACUAGAAGUAGCUGAAGAUGGUAAUGAGGAAUCUGGCAGUAGCUGGCAGUUACUGUUUUGAUUUGGGGUUUUUUUUUGAUUGCUUCGAAGUUCUUUCUGAAUAGCUGAACGUUCUUGCAUCUUUUAAAAGUGCGUUUUUAAAUUACAUUUAUGUUCAUC